GAUGAAGAACGCAGCGAAAUGCGAUAAGUAAUGUGAAUUGCAGAAUUCAGUGAAUCAUCGAAUCUUUGAACGCACAUUGCGCCCUCUGGUAUUCCGGAGGGCAUGCCUGUUCGAGCGUCAUUUCGGCCCUCAAGCAUUGCUUGGUGUUGGGGCACCGCCUGUAAAAGGGCGGGCCCUGAAAUCUAGUGGCGAGCUCGCCAGGACCCCGAGCGUAGUAAUUAUAUUUCGUUCUGGAAGGCCCUGGCGGUGCCCUGCCGUUAAACCCCCAACUUCUGAAAAUUUGACCUCGGAUCAGGUAGGAAUACCCGCUGAACUUAAGCAUAUCAAUAAGCGGAGGA
rnacentral:misc_RNA from 1 species